rnacentral:rRNA from 1 species
CCUACGGGAGACAGCAGUGGGGAAUAUUGCACAAUGGGCGAAACCCUGAUGCAGCGACGCCGCGUGAGUGAAGAAGUAUUUCUGUAUGUAAAGCUCUAUCAGCAGGGAAGUGAAUGACUGUACCUGUGUAUGUUUCCAUGUCUAACUACGUGCCAGCAGCCGCGGUAACACGGAGGGGGCAAGGGUUAUCCGGAUUUACUGGGUGUAAAGGGAGCGUAGACGGCGGAGAAAGUCUGAGGUGAAAGCUCGCGGCUCAACCGCGGAAUUGCUGUUGAAACUUUUAGGCUGGAGUGCCGGAGAGGUAAGCGGAAUGCCUGGUGUAGCGGUGAAAUGCGUAGAUAUUAGGCAGAACACCAAUGGCGAAGGCGGCUUACUGGACGAUAACUGACGUUGAGGCUCGAAAGCGUGGGGAGCAAACAGGAUUAGAUACCCGAGUAGUC